rnacentral:lncRNA from 1 species
CUCCACGCCUGGUACUGCUACUUGUUUCAAAUCCAGGGCUUCUUUGAUAUUCCAGUGGAUAAUUUGUAUGCUGAACCUGCUGUGCUUCAGUGAAUUGGAGAAAGCAUCCUAGAGUUAGAAGAAUUAUAUCAUCGUGUCACCUGAUGCUGAUCUAGCCAAAAGGCUGAACAGUUCAUCUGGGCAGAUAUGUGUAAAAAUCGGCAUUGACAGACAGUGUGAGAUUUCAAGAUGGAGAAGAGCCCCUCUCCUCAAAAGAAAGACGAUUAGAUUUUUUCCUCCUUCGAUCAUAGUCCUGCUAAUUCCUGCAGCCAGGGGUCAUUCCCUUCCUGGGAAUCCAGUGGAGAAAGAGAGGAUAUUCCUGGCUAGACAUUUCCUGUCCCAUUCUCUGGGAGCAAGUGGUGAGUGGAUUACUCUCCCCUUGGGGUUCAGGGGUCAAGGGAGUGGCCAUUAUGGAUAGGCCAUGGACUGUAGGAAAGAUCCUGGGAUAGUUAGUUUUGGUUGCUAA